rnacentral:rRNA from 1 species
AGAGUUUGAUCCUGGCUCAGGCACGAACGCUGGCGGCGUGCCUAACACAUGCAAGUCGAACGGGGUAAUGACUUCGGUUAUUACUUAGUGGCCAACGGGUGAGUAACGCGUGAGGAACCUGCCUUUCAGUGGGGGACAACAGUUGGAAACGACUGCUAAUACCGCAUAAUGUAUCGAUGGGGCAUCCUGUUGAUACCAAAGAUUUAUUGCUGAGAGAUGGUCUCGCGUCUGAUUAGCUAGUUGGUGAGGUAACGGCUCACCAAGGCGACGAUCAGUAGCCGGUCUGAGAGGAUGAACGGCCACAUUGGGACUGAGAUACGGCCCAGACUCCUACGGGAGGCAGCAGUGGGGAAUAUUGGGCAAUGGGGGAAACCCUGACCCAGCAACGCCGCGUGAAGGAAGAAGGCCUUCGGGUUGUAAACUUCUUUUACCAGGGACGAAGAACGUGACGGUACCUGGAGAAAAAGCAACGGCUAACUACGUGCCAGCAGCCGCGGUAAUACGUAGGUUGCAAGCGUUGUCCGGAUUUACUGGGUGUAAAGGGCGUGUAGGCGGAGAUGCAAGUUGGGAGUGAAAUCCCGGGGCUCAACCCCGGAACUGCUUUCAAAACUGCAUCCCUUGAGUAUCGGAGAGGCAAGCGGAAUUCCUAGUGUAGCGGUGAAAUGCGUAGAUAUUAGGAGGAACACCAGUGGCGAAGGCGGCUUGCUGGACGACAACUGACGCUGAUGCGCGAAAGUGUGGGGAGCAAACAGGAUUAUAUACUAUGGUAGUCCACCAUGUAAACGAUCAAUACUAGGUGUGGGAGGACUGACCCCUUUCGUGCCGCAGAUAACACCAUAAGUAUUCCACAUGGGGAGUACGUCCGCAAGGUUGAAACUCAAAGGAAUUGACGGGGGCCCGCACAAGCAGUGGAUUAUGUGGUUUUAUUCGACGCCACUCGAAGUACUUUACCAGGAUUUGACAUCCAAAUAACGAAGUAGAGAUACACUAGGUGCCGUUCGGGGAAAGUUGAGACAGCUGGCACAUGGCUGUAGUCAGCUCGUGUGCUUAGAUGAUGGGUUAAGUCCGGAUAUGAGUGCCACCCUUACUGUUAGUCGUUACGCAAGAGCACUUUAUCGUGACUGCGGUGGACAGUUACGGAGGAAGACGGGGUCGACGUAAGAUAGUCAUCUCCUUUACGUUAUGUGGUUACACACGUAAGACAAUGCCCGUCGAUCACGAGGGAAGCUAAUCCCAGAGGCAGACCAAAUCUGCACACCCGGUCUCAGCUGGGUCUUCAGGCUGCAAUUAGCCGGUAUGCAGUUGGUAAUGAUAGUAAUCACGGAUCAGCAUGCCUCGCAGGAUAUGUUCACCGGGCCUUGUACACGUCGCCAGUCAGGGCGAAUUCGUUAAAAAUUCAGGGGGGUCCAUUAUUGAGGUAUUUGGUUGAUUGG